rnacentral:rRNA from 1 species
CCGACGGGUGGAGGUAACACGUAUCCAGCCUGCCGUCUACUCUUGGCCAGCCUUCUGAAGGAAGAUUAAUCCAGGAUGGCAUCAUGAGUUCACAUGUCCGCAUGAUUAAAGGUAUUUUCCGGUAGACGAUGGGGAUGCGUUCCAUUAGAUAGUAGGCGGGGUAACGGCCCACCUAGUCAACGAUGGAUAGGGGUUCUGAGAGGAAGGUCCCCCACAUUGGAACUGAGACACGGUCCAA